GUGACAUCCUGGAGAAUGAAGUCCUCUAUUUAAUUAUAGAACAGAUGCAGCAUGGCAGUGGAAGUUCAAGCCUCCUCUCACUGCCCUGCCAGAGAAGUCUGUUCCAGAGUAGCCACCUUCUGGGGAACAAAGUCAAUCUCCAAGCCCUUCAUUCCUCGACUGCU
rnacentral:sRNA from 1 species